GAAGCCUUUUAGGCUGAGUGGCGGACGGGUGAGUAACGCGUGAGAAUCUCCCUUCAGGAUGGGGACAACCGUUGGAAACGACGGCUAAUCCCCAAUGUGCCGAGAGGUGAAAAGGGUUUCCGCCUGAAGAAGAGCUCGCGUCCGAUUAGUUAGUUGGUGAGGUAAGAGCUCACCAAGGCAGCGAUCGGUAGCUGGUCUGAGAGGAUGAGCAGCCACACUGGGACUGAGACACGGCCCAGACUCCUACGGGAGGCAGCAGUGGGGAAUUUUCCGCAAUGGGCGAAAGCCUGACGGAGCAACGCCGCGUGUGGGAAGAAGGCUCUUGGGCUGUCAACCACUUUUCUCAGGGAAGAAGCUCUGACGGUACCUGAGGAAUCAGCCUCGGCUAACUCCGUGCCAGCAGCCGCGGUAAUACGGAGGAGGCAAGCGUUAUCCGGAAUUAUUGGGCGUAAAGCGUCCGCAGGGGGCGCAUCAAGUCUGCUGUUAAAGGCUGGAGCUUAACUCCGGUAGAGCAGUGGAAACUGGUGCGCUAGAGGGCGACAGGGGUAGAGGGAAUUCCCAGUGUAGCGGUGAAAUGCGUAGAGAUUGGGAAGAACACCGGUGGCGAAAGCGCUCUACUGGGUCGCACCUGACCCUCAGGGACGAAAGCUAAGGUAGCGAAAGGGAUUAGAUACCCCUGUAGUCUUAGCCGUAAACGAUGGAUACUAGGCGUGGCUUGUAUCGACCCAAGCCGUGCCGAAGCUAACGCGUUAAGUAUCCCGCCUGGGGAG
rnacentral:rRNA from 1 species